CCUACGGGUGGCUGCAGUGGGGAAUAUUGGACAAUGGGGGGAACCCUGAUCCAGCCAUGCCGCGUGUGUGAAGAAGGCCCUCGGGUUGUAAAGCACUUUCAGUGAGGAAGAACGCCUGGUGGUUAAUACCCAUCAGGAAAGACAUCACUCACAGAAGAAGCACCGGCUAACUCCGUGCCAGCAGCCGCGGUAAUACGGAGGGUGCGAGCGUUAAUCGGAAUUACUGGGCGUAAAGCGCGCGUAGGUGGCUUGAUAAGCCGGUUGUGAAAGCCCCGGGCUCAACCUGGGAACGGCAUCCGGAACUGUCAAGCUAGAGUGCAGGAGAGGAAGGUAGAAUUCCAGGUGUAGCGGUGAAAUGCGUAGAGAUCGGGAGGAAUACCAGUGGCGAAGGCGGCCUUCUGGACUGACACUGACACUGAGGUGCGAAAGCGUGGGUAGCAAACAGGAUUAGAUACCCCUGUAGUC
rnacentral:rRNA from 1 species